UUGUUUCCCAUCUUCGCCUUGCUCACUAAGCUGAUGAUCACUGAGUUUGUGAGACUGUCACAGAUCAAAUCCCGAGCUAUGAUCGGUGCAUGGACCCAAUAGGCAUAGCCCAUCAGACCCAAGUAAGCCUUUCUGUGAAAACUUAUUCAUUAAACCGCUUGUCUCUCAUUUACCUCUAAGGUUCUCAAUUCAUAAUUUUCAAAAAUAAUUCCUUCUCACGAGUUAAAUCAUGGCAACCGAGCAUAUAGUAUUCACAAAAUAAUAUUAUCACUUGCAUAUGUGUGGUGGCACUAUUAUUCAAACCAAACGCACAAUGUUUACGAUAACUUUCACGAAUUAUAAUUAAACAAUCAUACACACAAACAAAAGACGUUGCCUAUCAGUGGAGUGACUCUGGUGGGGUUACUAUCAUUGAGAGUCGUAGUGAACCUACUGAAAGAUGAAUAUGAGGGAGCGCCUUGACCUAAGACCCAACUACCUUCGAUCCUGAAAACUAAAACAUGAAGUUGAAAAAAAAGGAUAAGUAUAAACUCAGUAAGUGAAUAUAGAAAGGGAACAAACAUCAAUACGAGAAGUUUUAGAAAACAUGAUGCACUUAUGUUGAAAACAAUGCAAUUUAAUUUAAUUUCUUGUAAAGCCCUUAAUUCAACCCUUGAUUAUUUAAUCCCUUAAGGUGAAAGAUUUAUAAUCCACAAUGGAGUUGAAAAGACUAAAAACUACAGCAAAUCCAAUCAAGACAAGCAAAAGAUCGGAGGGUUUCUCGCUAUAGUGGAAAGGCAUUCUAUAGCAUAAAGUACAAUCACAUUUUUUUUAUUUACAUAACUUGUCUAUAGCAUAUAUAUAUAUAUAUAUACAUGUACACCGCCGCCACCUUACUCAACUCAUGUGCACUCCCUACACGCACAAGGCAAUAUCAUCAUGUGCACUCCCUACACGCACAUUUCAAUAUCAUCAUGUGCACUCCCUAACGCACAGUUCAAUAUCAUAAUGCGCACUCCCUAAAAGCACAUUUCAAUAUCAUCACACAUACUCCCGCCCACACCAUUACCGGCUUGUGCACUCCCACACUGCACACCACCGGCACCGUCAUGUGUACUCCCACACUGCACGUGCACUGUUAUAUCUAUUAUACAGAAUUAUCACUCAAAGCAUAACACACAUAUCCCCAUAAUAUAGGAACACAUGGUUUCAUUAUAUCACAUAUUUUACCACAUAAAAACAUUUCAUCAAGGGCUUAUUCUCAUGCACAUUUUAAAGAAAAGUUCGAUAAAACAUUUCAAAUGAUUCAAUAAAACAAGUAUGCAUUUAUCCCAAAACAUUUUAAUGCAAGCUCACUCACUUUACGAUUGUGGGAUACUACAUCGUUAUUAGUUCUGAGGUGUAUUCAGCUAUUUCUACUUGUCAAUCAUUCAUUAUUUCCUCCGGCACGCCACCACAGUACAUUGUCUUUACUUUUGCACUUCCUAGCAACAAUCCAAAUUCAAUAUCUUUAGUGUACAUCAUUUCUACUUCUCUUUUUCAUUCAAUCGUGAAUCCUUAUUCAACUAACUUACAUCUUGCACAUUUUUACCAAAGUUGCCUUUAUCCUUUGCUUGCAUAAUUCUUUAAAUUAUAAUUACUGGCAACUCAUUUAUGACUCUCACACAUAUAGUAAUCUUUUCUAAAGACAUUUAUCAAGUUCUUUUUCUAAUGCUUCAAAUCACCAAUGUCCAGCCAAAUAACCCAAAAAUCAGCAAAGCCACAUUCAUAUUCCUUCUUGGAAAAAUUCAGCCAAAAUGGUGCAUCAUUGUCACAAUUUUUCCUACUUGAUUUUCUUUCCAUAAUUCAUUAAUUUCCAUAUCAAAAACAAUGAUUUCAUAAUCAAAUAACCUAAAAUAACAUCACAUUCUUCCUCACCAUCGACUUGAAAAUUCAGCUAAGGCUAGGUAAUGGGAAAAAUGAAUGUUUUUCUACAUAUUUUGUUUACUAACAUGCUAAACUAACACUAAACACCAACAUAUAUCAAAAUCAAAUCAAUCCAACAAUUUUCUCUCUCUAGACCCAUAUGACCAGCCAUGAAAACAUGCUAUUUAAUCAUGGAAAAUAAGGAGAAAUGCUUGGGAAUAAGAAAACUCAAGCUUAAUAGAAAAAAUCUUACCUUUUUCACUUAAUUUCCUUGAAAAUUCACACUUUUUCUUUGAUUUUCUCUCUCUGGGGUUUGGUUUUUGUUUUCUCUCUCUUCUUACUGGUUUGGCCGACCAUGGGUGGAAGAUG
rnacentral:lncRNA from 1 species